rnacentral:rRNA from 1 species
CUGGCAGAGAUGUGGAAGUGCUCGAAAGAGAACUUGAACACAGGUGCUGCAUGGCCGUCGUCAGCUCGUGUCGUGAGAUGUUGGGUUAAGUCCCGCAACGAGCGCAACCCUUGUCAUUAGUUGCUACAUUCAGUUGGGCACUCUAAUGAGACUGCCGGUGACAAGCCGGAGGAAGGUGGGGAUGACGUCAAGUCCUCAUGGCCCUUAUAGGUGGGGCUACACACGUCAUACAAUGGCUGGUACAAAGGGUUGCCAACCCGCGAGGGGGAGCCAAUCCCAUAAAGCCAGUCGUAGUCCGGAUCGUAGUCUGCAACUCGACUACGUGAAGUCGGAAUCGCUAGUAAUCGUGGAUCAGAAUGUCACGGUGAAUACGUUCCCGGGUCUU